CUUAACACAUGCAAGUCGAACGAGAAGAGAUGAGAAGCUUGCUUCUUAUCAAUUCGAGUGGCAAACGGGUGAGUAACGCGUAGACAACCUGCCGCAAAGAUGGGGACAACAGUCCGAAAGGACUGCUAAUACCGAAUGUUGUAUCUCCUCCGCAUGGAAGAGAUAUUAAAGAUGGCCUCUACUUGUAAGCUAUCGCCUGAAGAGGGGUUUGCGUCUGAUUAGGUAGUUGGUGAGGUAACGGCCCACCAAGCCGACGAUCAGUAGCCGGUCUGAGAGGAUGAACGGCCACACUGGAACUGAGACACGGUCCAGACUCCUACGGGAGGCAGCAGUGGGGAAUCUUCCGCAAUGGGCGAAAGCCUGACGGAGCAACGCCGCGUGAGUGAUGACGGCCUUCGGGUUGUAAAGCUCUGUGAUCGGGGACGAACGGUCAGCAGACGAAUACUCUGCUGAAGUGACGGUACCCGAAUAGCAAGCCACGGCUAACUACGUG
rnacentral:rRNA from 1 species